ACAAACAGAACUUACAAAACUGGCAACAAUAUCUCCCUAAAAGGAAUUCAUCGUCCGCCAACACAAGUUCACUGCAAGGCCGCAAUGAAUGAACCACAACCACUUUAUCCCACAAGACUCUUCUCACAUACUCUCCUACGUCACUCUGCUAUUAACAGUGCGAUGACGUACCUCACUCCUUCUACGAUAGCCAAAUAAGUUCUCCGCUCAAUGAAAACAACCGCAUAGACAUAGACGAAAAUCGCUUGAUACGCUUCAUACGCACGACACGAGCAUCGGCCGACGCGCGACGUCUUCGGGUCCCCCAUUCAUUCAUUCACCAUUCACAUAUUCGUGAAUGCACAUGUUGCUCGUUCGCGUUCGCAUUCGCGACGCGUCUAUCCAUCGCUGGCUGCCCUCAGCGAAUCUAUAUAGACGAGCAUCAAGCCCGGGGUCGGACGAAGUCUUGAUCCAUCCCAGAACCGGUGCAGACGUGUGUGCUCUCUACGUGUGAUUAGUUAGUGUUUUAGUAGUGUCAAUCGAGAUGAUUCGACUAAGAUUUGUGAAAUGUGCAUUGUGUUAUGAUAGACAUGAAUUUCACGUGAAUAGUGCAAUAGUGCAAUCAUAUGACGAAGGUCAAGGCUGUGUCGGUGUUUUCUGUAUCCUUGGCCGAUCUCGGAGACAUUGGUUUAUCUUAUCUGUCGAGGCAAAUAAAUCACUGACAUCCGAUGGUCCUUCAUCGAAGGAGACAGUGUGACAGUGUUAGAAGUGAAAACAAAGCAACCAGUGAGUGACGAUUGCCGGAAAUUGUGAAAUAAGCCUACUGUGACCUUUCGUCAUAACGUAGCAUGAGUGGAUUCUCGGAACACAAGGUGAACAACAGUGUGAUUCACGUUCAUUUCUCCGAAUCCAUCAACGA